rnacentral:rRNA from 1 species
AUACGUAGGGGGCGAGCGUUAUCCGAAUUUAUUGGGCGUAAAGCGUGUGUAGGCGGUUUAUUAAGUCUAAGAUUAAAGCCUGGGGCUCAACCCCAGUUCGUUUUAGAAACUGGUAGACUUGAGUGUGGUAGAGGCAAGUGGAAUUUCUAGUGUAGCGGUUAAAUGCGUAGAUAUUAGAAGGAACACCAGUGGCGAAGGCGGCUUGCUGGGCCAUGACUGACGCUGAGACACGAAAGCGGGGGGAGAAAAUAGGAUUAGAUACCCUAGUAGUCCACGCCGUAAACGAUGAGUACUAAGUGUCGGGAAACCGGUGCUGAAGUUAACACAUUAAGUACUCCGCCUGAGUAGUACGGUCGCAAGGCUGAAACUCAAAUGAAUUGACGGGG